rnacentral:lncRNA from 1 species
AAGAUACAACUUAUAUGCAAUAAGCUAUCUGUACAUAAAUGUGGUGAUACAUUAUUUAUUAUAGAUUUAAUAAAGAAGUAUCAGAAUGCAAAGCCAGCCACACUAGUUAGCUAUAGAAGCUUGAGGGUGAUGGUACACACCUUUGAUCCCAGGACUCAGAAGACAGAGGUAGACAAAUCUCUGUUAGUUCAAGACCACUAUGAGCUACACGAAACUGACCCAGUCUAAAAGAGAAACAGCUCACACAAAGGUGAUAUCAGCACUUGGGAUCCCACAUCUUUAACCGAAGGAUUUGAGAUAUAUAAAAGAAAGAAGCAAAGAGUCUCAUGAGAGAAUUUUUCUCCAGCCUCACUGAGGAGAGGCAGCAGUCUGGGUUGCAGUCUGAGGAUUGGUGGAAACAGGGUUGCAGUCUGAGGCUUGGUGGAGAGCAUGGACUCUGAGGAUUCAUGGAGACGGGAUUGACAUUUCACUCUGAGAUAGAGGAGCCCUGACCUUCUUGAAUGGAAUGACAGAUUAUGAUGCAGAAGUAUAAGCAAGAGUGAAAGCAAGGAUUUGUACUAUGAGUAUUUACACAAAGUCAUCAAUUACUAAUAGAGACCAUUAUUCUACAUGAAUCAGUUCUAGGAGCUAACAGGAAAGGGGCGACAAACACUAUAGCUGGGGCUUGGAGGCUAAAGAACAGAGCACUCCAGGCUAACAGUAAGAAGUCUUUCCUAAAUUAUAAAGUUAACAUAAAAGCUUUACCUGCAGAACUUGAACAUAGAAUCUUCUCUUCACCUGCCAC